GCAGGAAACCAGAUGACCCCUUCGGGGUGAUUCUGGNGGAAUGAGCGGCGGACGGGUGAGUAACACGUGGGCAACCUGCCUGUAAGACUGGGAUAACUUCGGGAAACCGGAGCUAAUACCGGAUAGUAUUUCCUUUCUCCUGAUUGGAAAUGGAAAGACGGUUUCGGCUGUCACUUACAGAUGGGCCCGCGGUGCAUUAGCUAGUUGGUGGGGUAAUGGCCCACCAAGGCGACGAUGCAUAGCCGACCUGAGAGGGUGAUCGGCCACACUGGGACUGAGACACGGCCCAGACUCCUACGGGAGGCAGCAGUAGGGAAUCUUCCGCAAUGGACGAAAGUCUGACGGAGCAACGCCGCGUGAGCGAUGAAGGCCUUCGGGUCGUAAAGCUCUGUUGUUAGGGAAGAACAAGUACGAGAGUAACUGCUCGUACCUUGACGGUACCUAACCAGAAAGCCCCGGCUAACUACGUGCCAGCAGCCGCGGUAAUACGUAGGGGGCAAGCGUUGUCCGGAAUUAUUGGGCGUAAAGGGCUCGUAGGCGGUUUCUUAAGUCUGAUGUGAAAGCCCACAGCUCAACUGUGGAGGGUCAUUGGAAACUGGGGAACUUGAGUGCAGAAGAGGAGAGUGGAAUUCCACGUGUAGCGGUGAAAUGCGUAGAUAUGUGGAGGAACACCAGUGGCGAAGGCGACUCUCUGGUCUGUAACUGACGCUGAG
rnacentral:rRNA from 1 species